GGAACCGGCGCCCGGAAUGUCAGCGUGUGAAGUAGGCGCUGGCAACGCGGGGUUACCCGCUGUUAUUGAGGAGUAACGGCCCAGCGGACCACCCAGGCUUGAGGCAGCGGCGGGAACCACUCGGUUUGCUGCGAUACCAUGGAAGGAGGCGGGGGAAGCGGCGACAAAACCACAGGGGUAUUGGCCGGCUUUUUCGGAGCCGGCGAAGCAGGUUACUCGCACGCGGAUUUGGCUGGCGUCCCGCAGUCAGGACCUCGUUCUGUCACCCAUGUUGGGGUGCGGUGGCAUGAUUAUAGUUCACUGAAGCCUGGCACUCCUGAGCUCAAACAAUCCUCCCCUCUAAGCCUCCUAAGUAGCUGGGAAUCUAGUAACUGGUAUGAACCCUCUGUGUCCUUAUUUAAAUGUGGAUCCACGAUACCUCGUGCAGGAUACAGAUGAGUUCAUUUUACCUACCGGAGCUAAUAAAACCUGGGGCAGAUUUGAGCUGGCCUUCUUUACGAUUGGAGGGUGUUGCAUGACAGGGGCUGCGUUUGGGGCAAUGAAUGGUCUUCGGCUAGGAUUGAAGGAAACCCAGAACAUGGCCUGGUCCAAACCAGGAAAUGUACAGAUUUUGAAUAUGGUGACUAGGCAAGGGGCACUUUGGGCUAAUACUCUAGGUUCUCUGGCGUUGCUCUAUAGUGCAUUUGGUGUCAUCAUUGAGAAAACACGAGGUGCAGAAGAUGACCUUAACACAGUAGCAGCUGGAACCAUGACAGGCAUGUUGUAUAAAUGUACAGUGUCAGAGAUGGCUUUGGAUUCCCCGUUCUGUGUGCUGCUGUCUGGCUCCUGAACCCAGCUGUAGAGGUGUGUGUCAAUCCCAACUGGUGAAGUACUGAGAAGAAGCUACACAAAAGGCAGCAAAGUAUUAGUGAGUAGUGUCAUUGAGCAAACACAAAGUCGGGCUCAUCCAAGGAUGAGAUUUUGCCAGAGAAAGGACGAGCAGCAAGUCAGGGAGCUUAAGUUGCUCCUUCACAUGUUCCCACUCUCUGUGCGGCCACCAUGUAAGUCGGACCUGCCCUUCUGCCAUGAUUCUUUGGAGUUUAACCUUUCUGCCAAUCCAGAGUCAAGCACAAUAUUCCAGAGGAACUCUCAAACAGAAGCUUUGGAGUUUAACCCUUCUGCCAAUCCAGAGGCAAGCACAAUAUUCCAGAGGAACUCUCAAACAGAUGUUGUAGAAAUAAGAAGAAGCAACUGUACAAACCAUGUAUCUGCUGUGCGUUUCAGUCAACAAUACAGCUUGUGUUCGACAAUAUUCCUUGAUGACAGCACAGCCAUCCAGCAUUAUCUUACAAUGACAAUAAUAUCUGUGACCUUGGAGAUACCUCAUCAUAUCACACAAAGAGAUGCAGAUAGAACUUUGAGCAUACCUGAUGAACAGUUACACUCAUUUGCGGUUUCCACCGUGCACAUUAUGAAGAAAAGAAAUGGAGGUGGGAGUUUAAAUAACUAUUCCUCCUCCAUUCCAUCGACUCCCAGCACCAGCCAGGAGGACCCUCAGUUCAGUGUUCCUCCCACUGCCAACACACCCACGCCCGUUUGCAAGCGGUCCAUGCGCUGGUCCAACCUGUUUACAUCUGAGAAAGGGAGUGACCCAGACAAAGAGAGGAAAGCCCCGGAGAAUCAUGCUGACACCAUCGGGAGCGGUAGAGCCAUCCCCAUUAAACAGGGCAUGCUCUUAAAGCGAAGUGGGAAAUGGCUGAAGACAUGGAAAAAGAAAUACGUCACCCUGUGUUCCAAUGGCAUGCUCACCUAUUAUUCAAGCUUAGGUGAUUAUAUGAAGAAUAUUCAUAAAAAAGAGAUUGACCUUCAGACAUCUACCAUCAAAGUCCCAGGAAAGUGGCCAUCCCUAGCCACAUCGGCCUGCACACCCAUCUCCAGCUCUAAAAGCAAUGGCCUAUCCAAGGACAUGGACACCGGGCUGGGUGACUCCAUAUGCUUCAGCCCCAGUAUCUCCAGCACCACCAGCCCCAAGCUCAACCCGCCCCCCUCUCCUCAUGCUAAUAAAAAGAAACACCUAAAGAAGAAAAGCACCAACAACUUUAUGAUUGUGUCUGCCACUGGCCAAACGUGGCACUUUGAAGCCACGACGUAUGAGGAGCGGGAUGCCUGGGUCCAAGCCAUCCAGAGCCAGAUCCUGGCCAGCCUGCAGUCAUGCGAGAGCAGUAAAAGCAAGUCCCAGCUGACCAGCCAGAGCGAGGCCAUGGCCCUGCAGUCGAUCCAAAACAUGCGUGGGAACGCCCACUGUGUGGACUGUGAGACCCAGAAUCCUAAGUGGGCCAGUUUGAACUUGGGAGUCCUCAUGUGUAUUGAAUGCUCAGGUAUCCACCGCAGUCUUGGCCCCCACCUUUCCCGUGUGCGAUCUCUGGAGCUGGAUGACUGGCCAGUUGAGCUCAGGAAGGUUAUGUCAUCUAUUGUCAAUGACCUAGCCAACAGCAUCUGGGAAGGGAGCAGCCAGGGGCAGACAAAACCCUCAGAAAAGUCCACGAGGGAAGAGAAGGAACGGUGGAUCCGUUCCAAAUAUGAGGAGAAGCUCUUUCUGGCCCCACUACCCUGCACUGAGCUGUCCCUGGGCCAGCAGCUGCUGCGGGCCACCGCUGAUGAGGACCUGCAGACAGCCAUCCUGCUGCUGGCACAUGGCUCCUGUGAGGAGGUGAACGAGACCUGUGGGGAGGGAGACGGCUGCACGGCGCUCCAUCUGGCCUGCCGCAAGGGGAAUGUGGUCCUGGCGCAGCUCCUGAUCUGGUACGGGGUGGACGUCAUGGCCCGAGAUGCCCACGGGAACACAGCGCUGACCUACGCCCGGCAGGCCUCCAGCCAGGAGUGCAUCAACGUGCUUCUGCAGUACGGCUGCCCCGACGAGUGUGUGUAGUAUCUGUUUUAUUUGACUGCAGUCUCCUUGGUGCAAAAACAAAAUGGGAAAAAUAAGGAUAACUCAGAAUUUCAAAAGGAAAUCACAAAUUCAGCUAAUAUUAGCAUUUUCAGUACUUUUCGUAAACUAAGUAAAUACACAAAAUGUUGAUUUUUCUGACCAUAAGACGUAUUUUAUGUCCUUCUGCCAAGGUGGAUUUGUUAGUCUCAGGCCCUCCUGGCCACAUUGCCCAAGUCACACAGGCUUCUGUAUUAUGUAUUUAGAUAAAAUGUGUGAAAACAUAUUUGAAAUAAAGUUCAUAAAUAUGCAUUGAUUUUUGUACACAUGGCACCUCUUUUUCAUUUUUAUUUUUAUUUUUUUUGGACGAUGUUUUGCUCUGUCACCCCAGCUGGAGUGCAGUGGCCAGAGAUUGUGCCACUGCACUCCAGCCUGGGCAACAGAGCGAGACUCGGUCUCAAAGAAAAGAAAAAGAGGGUUACAGAUCACUGCACAUGGAAAAUAUUCCCAGCAGUAAACACUUCCAUUAAUGUGAUCUACAGCUUUUAAAAAGGAGCAUCUCAGAAUAAGAUGGUGGUACAAUUUGCUGAUUGAGAAAGGAAAAAAAAAAACAA
rnacentral:lncRNA from 10 species